GCGAUGAGGAGAUUAGCAGCAACAGUUUGGCAUGCCAGGUAGGGGAAGACAGCGGUAAGAAGAAAACUCGCAAUGACGAGAACUAGAGCUCAAUGAUCAAUGACGAUUAGAUCGGCAAGACACUCUUUCCGUUGGGAAGAGGCCCCUCCCCUGCCUCCGGUAGCAUAGCCCAGUUUUUCACAUCCCGUGGUUACCACAGAUGC
rnacentral:lncRNA from 1 species